GUUUCCGUGGUGUGGUGGUAAUUACAUCCGCCUAACACACGGAACGUCCCAGGGUCGAUCCCGGCCGAAGACA